GUGAACGCUGGCGGUAGGCCUAACACCUGCAAGUCGAACGGCAGCACAGUAAGAGCUUGCUCUUACGGGUGGCGAGUGGCGGACGGGUGAGGAAUACAUCGGAAUCUACUUUUUCGUGGGGGAUAACGUAGGGAAACUUACGCUAAUACCGCAUACGACCUACGGGUGAAAGCAGGGGAUCUUCGGACCUUGCGCGAUUGAAUGAGCCGAUGUCGGAUUAGCUAGUUGGCGGGGUAAAGGCCCACCAAGGCGACGAUCCGUAGCUGGUCUGAGAGGAUGAUCAGCCACACUGGAACUGAGACACGGUCCAGACUCCUACGGGAGGCAGCAGUGGGGAAUAUUGGACAGUGGGCGCAAGCCUGAUCCAGCCAUACCGCGUGGGUGAAGAAGGCCUUCGGGUUGUAAAGCCCUUUUGUUGGGAAAGAAAAGCAGCAGGUUAAUACCCCGCUGUUCUGACGGUACCCAAAGAAUAAGCACCGGCUAACUUCGU
rnacentral:rRNA from 1 species